rnacentral:rRNA from 1 species
AACGAACGCUGGCGGCAUGCCUAACACAUGCAAGUCGAACGAUACCUUCGUGCCUAGUGGCGCACGGGUGCGUAACGCGUGGGAACCUGCCCUUAGGUUCGUUAUCACUCCCCGAAAGGGGUGCUAAUACCGGUUAAUCUCUUCCGACCAAAGAUUUAUCGCCUUUGGAUGGGCCCGCGUUGGAUUCGCUAGUUGGUAGGGGAAACGCCUACGAAGGCUACGAUCCAUAGCUGGUCUGGGAGAAUGAUCAGCCACACUGGGACUGAGACACGGCCCAGACUCGUACGGGAGGAAGCGGGGGGGAAUAUUGGACAAUGGGAGAAAGACUGAGCCAGCAAUGCCGCGGGAGUGAUGAAGGCCUUAUGGUUGUAAAGCUCUUUUAACAGGGAGGAUAAUGACAGUACCGGGAGAAUAAGCGCCGGCUAAUUCCGUG